GUUUUCAUUUUGGCAGCACAUAUACUGAACAUUGGGAUGAUACAGAGAAGAUGAGCAUGGCCCCUUCACAACGGUGACACUUAAGCAGUAAUGGCUUACCUCAGACUUUU
rnacentral:snRNA from 1 species